CCCAAUCGACUUUGCUUUCCGUUUCCAUCUCCCGAACGCAUCUAUUAUCUCAUCGUCUGUCCCCCACCUCUCGCCACCAGCCCGUCUCCUCUCAUUCCUUCAGACACAUCUCUCUACUUCUCCUCCGGCCCUCCCCAUCCCCCUCUGCUUCUCUUGCUGUGCCAUACCCCGCCCCCCGCGCUCCACUACAAGCACCGGCGAGGCACAUGCUUCGCCUCCUCCAGAUCUAUGAGGUGAUGCGCAAGGAAACCUCGCAUCAAGGAUUCGAGGCGACUUCACCCACAAGGGAGAUUCAAUUGUUUGCAUCGAAGUUGUUUGGAUUUACUAGGAGGAAGCGGUUGUGCUUUACGAUCCUAAUGAGAAAUUCGACAAGAAAUAUUUUCCAAUUGGGAGAGGCUUCUUCAUCAGUUCUGUGAGAAGUACAAUUAUUUAACACACGUUUUAUCUUGAUUAUCUUUUCAACCAGUGUAUCAUCUAGCAACCUCUAUUCCAAAAAUUAGCACAUUUUCCAUUGAAAAAAGAACAAUUGUACUUGAUGGACAACAAUGGACGUAGGCUGGCAUCUAAUAGAUGUGGUCGCUUUUUGCUUUUUUUAUAUCUUCAGAAUUGUACGCUCACCCACCAUAUUGAUCUCCAUAGAGGAUAUGUUGUGGGCAUGUUAAUCAGUCUUCUAUUUAUGAAGUAGCCAUUCAUUGGUCCAUGUUUUGCUGAUCGAUUCAAAGUAUACUGUUUGCUUCAAUUUAUACUCUGAUAUGAAACCAGAAUAAGUCUUAAUGAAUGGGAAUCAAAAGUUCUUUAUUGGAGUUUUGAAGAUCUGAAGAACCCACUCACCCGGACAUCUUUUCAGUUAGUCUGGUGGUGUCAUAGUUGGUGUAUCUGAUUUCUGCAGGUUUGGGGAUAAUGGACAAGACCUGUAUGGACUUAACACUUGGUGAGCUUCCUACCGAUGGUGACUGGGUAGAUCUGAUGUUGUUUGUAAUUAGUUUUUGUAUUAGCAAUAUGAAAAUAUGAACUAAACUAUAGACAAUUUAUUAGUAUAUGUUUGUAGAAUAUGUAUUGAAGAUGAGUAGCAUGCACGGUGCAUGUUAAUGUGAGUUUUGGUCAUGCAUAAUGACAUGGUGCGUUGGCAUA